GACGAACCGUGCGAACGUUAUUCGGAAUCACUGGGCUUAAAGCGCGUGUAGGCGGAUCGGCACGUCGGCGCCUGAAAUCCCCCGGCUCAACCGGGGAACGUGGCCCGAAACGACCAGUCUGGAGGGACGUAGGGGGAGCUGGAACUUCCGGUGGAGCGGUGAAAUGCGUUGAGAUCGGAAGGAACGCCCGUGGCGAAAGCGAGCUCCUGGACGUCUGCUGACGCUGAGACGCGAAAGCUAGGGUAGCGAACGGGAUUAGAAACCCUAGUAGUCC
rnacentral:rRNA from 1 species